AUGAUAAACGCAAGUAUUAAUGUAUUAAAUUGUUCAUUUUUAAGAAUAUUUUAUUUAAUACCAAUGGCGCCACUAGUACUAAAACCAGUACCUUAUUAUUCUUAGUACAGUUCUAGUACUGAAAGUUGUGUUAUAAUGCUCUUUGUUAUAAUAUGUUACUGAUUGUCUCCGCAAUUUAAGUUUUGGUACCGAAUUUUCCCUAAGGAAAAUGUUGUUUCAAAUCACCCCCCGAACCACCCCUUUCAAGGAAUUCCAACAUUUUUGGGACACCCUGUAUAUGUAGUGAAGUUUAUUAAGAAUAACAAAUCUAGAAGAUAAACCGAGCAUUCUUGUAACGAAUGGAAACAAUUGUUGCGCUCAAUAUUAUGAAUACAAUAAAUUAAUAUAAUUUAAGUGUGUGUGUCCCGCUUUAAUACUUUUUUAAUCAUUUAUUAUUCCAAUUCGUUUUAAGAGUUGUCACAUUAAAUUCAUACAUAGAAAAUUUAAUAAUUUUGUUAUUAUAUUUCAUCUUUAUAACACAAAACAUACAUUAAAAAUAUAAUUAUGUUCACGAGGAUAUAUUCGUUCAUAUAUAUGAAAAUCACAAGUAGUUUAAUGUACUUCAUCCAGUAUGGUAUUACAUGCUAGAAUACAUGUUUUUAAAAACUAGAACACCGAUUAUUUUUGGAAAAACUGAGGUUAUUCAUGGGUUAUUGAUAAUUAUAAAAUUUGCAUAAUUUAUAUAAAUACUUUGGUUUACGUAGAAAUCACUAAUAGCAUUUUACAAAUUUAUCAAAUCAAAUAUUUUUACUCUAUAACACUGUACUACC